rnacentral:rRNA from 1 species
CUGGGGGCGUGCCUAUACAUGCAAGUCGAGCGGACCGACGGGAGCUUGCUCCCUUAGGUCAGCGGCGGACGGGUGAGUAACACGUGGGUAACCUGCCUGUAAGACUGGGAUAACUCCGGGAAACCGGGGCUAAUACCGGAUGCUUGAUUGAACCGCAUGGUUCAAUUAUAAAAGGUGGCUUUUAGCUACCACUUACAGAUGGACCCGCGGCGCAUUAGCUAGUUGGUGAGGUAACGGCUCACCAAGGCAACGAUGCGUAGCCGACCUGAGAGGGUGAUCGGCCACACUGGGACUGAGACACGGCCCAGACUCCUACGGGAGGCAGCAGUAGGGAAUCUUCCGCAAUGGACGAAAGUCUGACGGAGCAACGCCGCGUGAGUGAUGAAGGUUUUCGGAUCGUAAAACUCUGUUGUUAGGGAAGAACAAGUACCGUUCGAAUAGGGCGGUACCUUGACGGUACCUAACCAGAAAGCCACGGCUAACUACGUGCCAGCAGCCGCGGUAAUACGUAGGUGGCAAGCGUUGUCCGGAAUUAUUGGGCGUAAAGCGCGCGCAGGCGGUUUCUUAAGUCUGAUGUGAAAGCCCCCGGCUCAACCGGGGAGGGUCAUUGGAAACUGGGGAACUUGAGUGCAGAAGAGGAGAGU